GGCGUUUGUAGUUUUAUCAUGCUAGCCAUGACAUUGAACACAUUUUCUUGAUAGCAGAACAAUCUGAAAGUUAUGAUUCUUUCUGUGCAGUUGUAUUUCAAGGGCUGCCGCCGGAGCUGCUGCCCUGCUCCAUGGCCAUUAUUCAUGGGCUGGCCAGGAGUGGCGCUGGCGCUGCUCCCCCGAAACAUACAGAUGUCCCAGCACCGCCGGAGCAGCCGAGAACACGGCAAAGUUGCAGUUGCAUUUUGGGGCAUACAGCCACUGUGGCAGUGGCAGUAUGGUAACCGACAGUCGGCCCCCGGAGACCAACACGUUUAUGGCAUUUGCCAAUGCAAUGGCCGGAGUGCGCUCUUCGCUUUUCACUUUUAUUGUGGCCACAGUCGAUGGCUGGCAAAGUGUUUGCACUGGGUAAGGCCGACAAUAUAUCUGUCUGGCUGUCGGUGAGCACAAUCAAAGGAGGAGUAUGUACGUCCCACCCAGAAGCCAUAAGGAUACGGGAGGAGGAGCGGGUGCUGGAGCAGGAGCAGGAGCUGGUGCUGAAGCAGAUGCACUUGCCUUUGCAAAGCUUGCCAGCUGCUUUUCCGUUUUUAUGACAGCUUCCGGUGGAGUGGCAGGAUACAUGUGUUCGCAUUCGUAUAUACUGGUUUCCCUGUGUUUUGGCACCUGGAAAUACCUCAAAGAAAAUAAUUCCGCCCCAGUCCCAGAAACUGUCUAAGCUGCCGCACGCUUCUGUCCUGAAGGCUUACUUUGUGUGCUGCCGCAUAGUGUUGCACGGCAAAAUAAAAGAGCAUCCUUUUUCGAUCGCA